rnacentral:tRNA from 1 species
CGCGGAGUGGAGCAGGUGGUAGCUCGUCGGGCUCAUAACCCGAAGGUCGUAAGUUCGAGUCUUGCCUCCGCAACCA